GCAUAUCAAUAAGCGGAGGAAAAGAAACCAACAGGGAUUGCCCUAGUAACGGCGAGUGAAGCGGCAACAGCUCAAAUUUGAAAUCUGGCUUUCGGGCCCGAGUUGUAAUUUGUAGAGGAAGCUUUUGGCGCGGCACCUUCUGAGUCCCCUGGAACGGGGCGCCAUAGAGGGUGAGAGCCCCGUAUAGUUGGAUGCCUAGCCUUUGUAAAGCUCCUUCGACGAGUCGAGUAGUUUGGGAAUGCUGCUCAAAAUGGGAGGUAAAUUUCUUCUAAAGCUAAAUACCGGCCAGAGACCGAUAGCGCACAAGUAGAGUGAUCGAAAGAUGAAAAGCACUUUGAAAAGAGGGUUAAAUAGCACGUGAAAUUGUUGAAAGGGAAGCGCUUGUGACCAGACUUGCGCCGGGCUGAUCAUCCGGUGUUCUCACCGGUGCACUCUGCCCGGCUCAGGCCAGCAUCGGUUCUCGUGGGGGGACAAAGGUCCUGGGAACGUAGCUCCUCCGGGAGUGUUAUAGCCCAGGGCGUAAUGCCCCCGCGGGGACCGAGGCUCGCGCUCUGCAAGGAUG
rnacentral:rRNA from 1 species